AGAGUUUGAUUCUGGCUCAGGACGAACGCUGGCGGCGUGCCUAACACAUGCAAGUCGAGCGGUCCAGCACUCAACUCGGUGCCCAUAAGUUUGCCGGGGGAGCAGUUCUUUUCCCAUGUUGAGCGAUACCUCAGGGCAUCAUCUGAGCACCGAGUUGAGUGCUGGAUAGCGGCGGACAGGUGAGUAACACGUGGGCAACCUGCCCUUAAGGCCGGGAUAACAGCUGGAAACGGCUGCUAAUACCGGAUAACCUCGAAAAGGGGCAUCCCUUUUCGAGCAAAGCGCUUAGCGCUUAAGGAUGGGCCCGCGGCCCAUUAGCUAGUUGGUAGGGUAACGGCCUACCAAGGCGACGAUGGGUAGCCGACCUGAGAGGGUGAUCGGCCACACUGGGACUGAGACACGGCCCAGACUCCUACGGGAGGCAGCAGUGGGGAAUUUUGCGCAAUGGGGGAAACCCUGACGCAGCAACGCCGCGUGAGCGAAGAAGGCCUUCGGGUCGUAAAGCUCUGUCUUAGGGGAAGAAAUCUGACGGUACCCUAAAAGGAAGCCCCGGCUAACUACGUGCCAGCAGCCGCGGUAAAACGUAGGGGGCGAGCGUUGUCCGGAUUUACUGGGCGUAAAGGGCGUGUAGGCGGCCCGUUAAGUCAGGUGUGAAAUCCCGCAGCUUAACUGCGGUCAUGCACUUGAAACUGGCGGGCUUGAGGGCAGGAGAGGGAAGUGGAAUUCCCGGUGUAGCGGUGAGAGUUUGAUUCUGGCUCAGGGUGGUCAAAAUUGGGUUAUCACAGAUGGUCAAUUUUCGGUUGUCACUCCGAGGAUCUGGCUCUUCAAGGUCUGGGGAUCGGCCACGUUGCCUUCGAAAACCUCCACGCAGACGGGACAGCCCUGGGCACUGCACAAAAGGCCGAUGACAAUUUGAGGCUUGCCCUUCUUUUGGUCCCGACUGUAGCCCAUCUGAGCCAGAAUCAAACUC
rnacentral:rRNA from 2 species